rnacentral:rRNA from 1 species
AUGCCCGCAAGUUAUGAUUUCGCCCCCUUUUUUUGUUGGUGUUUUUUACAUAAAUGUAUACAUGUGGAUAGCUUAGUUUUCUCCUACAUAUUUUGUAGUUUCAAUGAUGACACCUAUAUGUCAACUAUGGGUGUUGGCUCCAACAAUUCUCAUUGGUCUCAAACCAAUGUAGUGCAUGAAGAUGAUCAUGAGUUUGAGGUGGACGAGGAUGGUGAGGAUAUCGUCGAUGCACCGAAAGGAAGAGCGGGCAACUACACCAUGCACGAAGAAAUCUUGCUAUGCAAUACAUGGUUGCAUGUGUCUAUGGAUGCAAACAUUGGAGGGGACCAAAGUAGAGAUACAUAUUGGGUCCGGAUGAAGGAGCACUUUGAUAUACACAACAAGAGUGGAAUUUACCGCACCGAUAAAUCUCUUCGCUCCCAGUGGUCAACAAUCAACAAAGAUUGCCAAAGGUGUGGGCGACGACACUUAAGGCGGUUGACACGAUAA